AUGGCCACGCCACCCACCGCCGACGAGCCUCCCCCUCCGCCUAAUCCUGACGGAGACGCCCCCUCCCCGCCCACGGACGCCGAAUCCCCCCCGCCGCUCCCGGAGGCCGACGCCCCUGCCGCGCCGCCCCCGGACGCCGACGCCGACGCCCCGCCUCUGCAGCAGCCGCACCUCCCGGACGGCAUCCUGGAGGACAUCUUCCUGCGGCUCACGACGGCGGGGGACGUCGCGCGGGCGUCGGCCGCCUGCGCCUCCUUCCGGGCCAUCACGUCCGCGCUCCCGUUCCGGCGCCGAUUCCGCGCGCUCCACAGGGCCCCGGUCCUCGGCUUCCUCCGGGAGGACUUCUACGCCGCCCGCCCGCCGCACCCCUCCGCCCCGGCCGCGCGCGCCCUCGCGCGGGCCGCCGACUUCACCUUCUCCUUCCUCCCCGACGACGCCGCCUGCUGGAGCCCCCGCGACGCGCGUGACGGCCGCGUGCUCUUCUCCGCGGUCCCCAGCUCCCACGGCCGCGGCAGCUUCGCCGACGCUACCUCCACCACCUUUGUUGACCUCGUCGUCGCCGACCCGCUCUUCCGCCGCUGCGUCCGCGUCCCGCCCGUCCCCGACGACCUGGCGGCCCCCGUCCUGCGGUGGGGCAUGCUCGACUUCGAGCCCUUCCUUGCGCCGGCCAGCGCCGAGGACCUGCGCGACGACGGCGUGCCCUUUAGGGUCAUCGGCAAGGUGCUGUGCGAGGACAGGGUCGCCGUGUUCGUCUUCUCCUCGCAUACCGGCGAGUGGCGCAGCUACGGCUCAAGCGAGUUGUCCAACGACUUCGCGCUGGACGCCUUGUACGAGCGGCGCCACUACGUGCAGGGCUGCUUCUGCUGGCUGUUGGAGUGGAUGGAGAAGCUGCUCAUGCUUGACGCCGGCACGAUGGAGUUCUCCAUUGUCGACCUCCCGCCUGGCAACGACGAGAGGCGGUUCGCCAUUCUGGAGGCAGGGCAGGGCAGGAUUGGGCUGCUCAAUAUUGGUAGAAACACAUUGGACUUGUACUACAAGACCUGGCCAGGCAAACGCAAUGAAGAGUGGCAACACGAAACGAAAGAUCACCCAUUGCCCGACUAUCACUGGCGCAUCAUAGGUUCUGAUGAGGAGUACUUGCUCCUGAGAGGGAUUUCACUUGAUUGGCCCUGGUUCGGGAGCGCUUCAUCAGAGAGUCCGGAUAUUGAGUAUUUUGCACUGGAGCUCAAGGCAUUGCAACUCGAGAGGAUGUAUGUGUCCAAGCACAAAAUGUUGCAUGCUCACCUGUACAGGGGCCACCCGCCGCAGAUCUCGGCACCAACUCUAUGA
rnacentral:rRNA from 1 species